GGGAGAGCAAGAAAUAUGCAAAAGGUUGAAGAACAGAAAGACAAAUGGUAGAGGUCAGCGAGUCAAAUGGUGAUAAAAAUCAACAAGGAGUGCACCCAGAAGGUGAUUAUUCACACAAGAGCACUUUUCAGUGAACAAGUUGCUAUAUCGUGGGGACAGAAAAGGGCAUGGGAGCAAGAAAGAAGGGAGUGAAGAGCAGAACUAGCAGAGGAAACAGAGUCAAAAUUUAAAAUAUAAAAAUCAUUUUCUACAGUCCCAUCCUCACAGGGUAGCCUAGACCUCUCAUGGCCCACCCUGCCCACGGUUCUGGCCGAGUGCACUGACUGUGCUGUCCUGACAGCUUACUCCGCCGCCUGGUGAGCCAGUCAGAUUGUCCCCAUCGAAUGUCGUAAGCUACGAGUCGCGGAGCUUAUGACGACAAUGUCAGAGCGCCAGGUGUGAAAGACGGAAGCGGAAGACAAAGAGAUGUUGGGGAGGGAGGGUGUGCGGCCUGUUCCGGGACUCCAUUCUGUCCGAUAGCAGGCACACUUUGUUUCGUAUGUUUGGAUUCCGUAAGGUUUCUGAUAAUGGGGACUGAUCCAUGUUUUAAACAAACACUCGAGUUUUGGUCAGAUCUACAGCUAGUUACCCUGGAAACUCUGCUGAGUACUUCGUGAAGCACCUGCCACUUGAAGAGGAGGUGAGCCCAAAUAAAAACUUCUCACUCUUCAAAGUUUACUGCUUUCUGAAUAGAGGAUUAAAUGACUCAACGCUGCUUCUUGCUGCAUGGAAACUGCACGCUCCCCUCAGCUUUCUGUCAACUGCUGUGUUCUCGCCCCGACUCCUCUCUUCCGCUCGCUCACAAUCGCUUUGGCUCCUCAGAGAAUUUCAAAUGAAAGAAAGGGCAAAUGCACUCCUCAGUGUCUCCAAGACUCAAUGUGGACCCCACAGAUUCCUCUGUUCUUGCCCCAGUAGCUACCGUGAUACAGAGUCCUACAACAUAAGGUUGGACAAGGCAACUUUCUACCGAUUUUAAAAGCAAUAAAAGAGUUACAUUUCCUAAAGGGAUACACUUAGAAAACACAUUACUGUAUUAGCCAUAUUCUUUAUUUUCUGUAUUCUGAUUCUUUGAUAUCUUAGUGUCUUGCUGACACUGAAGGGACGGCCCCUACCAGGGUUACAGGAUUCCUAGAGAUAGCAAACAACUCACCCAAAGGUGGGCUUUUAAAAUGCAAACCAACCAAUCCAGGGCUCACGCCCCCAACCACCUACUUUAUCAGGCUCUUAAACUCUGGGGCACUAUCUCUCCACCGGCCCUCAUCGCUCCAGGGCCAGGCAUCAGACAACCAGGAACAGCCUCCACGCCCCACAGCCUGCUGAAAUUAUGCAGACUAAACAAUCCUAACGUUGACCUCGCUCACCAGGUUCACAACAAAGGCUCUUGCCCAAUUUCCCUCUCUCUGCCCAGUGCUCCCUUGUGUGGCCUCCAUUGCCACGGCAUGCCCCUCCUCUUGGGAACUGUAACAAGCCCCACUUUCAAUGGAAAUAAUCUCCUGAUCUACUGGCCUCAUCAUACCUUAAUAAUAAUAAAACUUAUUAAAACAAUUACCCAUGUUCUCUAAGUAACUUUAUUUUUAUUUAUAAGCACUUAUUAAGUGCAAUGUGAAAUAU